rnacentral:tRNA from 1 species
UUUAGCUCAGCGGCAUAAGCACCUGCCUUGCAAGCAGGUGGUCAUGAGUUCGAUUCCCGAAA